GACGGAGGGUGCUAGCGUUGUUCGGAAUCACUGGGCGUAAAGGGCGCGUAGGCGGCUUCAGGUGUCGGAUGUGAAAGCCCGGGGCUCAACCCCGGAGGUGCAUCCGAAACUCUGGGGCUGGAGGCCGGAAGAGGAGGGUGGAAUACCCAGUGUAGAGGUGAAAUUCGUAGAGAUUGGGGGGAACACCGGUGGCGAAAGCGGCUCUCUGGUCCGGUCCUGACGCUGAGGCGCGAAAGAGUGGGGAGCAAACAGG
rnacentral:rRNA from 1 species